AUUCUCACUUUCACAUUCUAUUUCAGUUGAGAAUAAAUCAUGACGAAGGCAUUAAGGGUUGGCCCUUCCUUGAUGCCUUACUAGCUGACCUCAAGCGGACUUAUCAUUCGAACGACGUAUUGAAAGUGAAAUAUGCGUCUCCUAUUCGUGUGUAUUUGCCCAUAAAAUUCCUUCGUCCUAUUGUCCAAUGUGGUUCCUUCAGAAAUUCAGAAAAAUAUGUUCCAAGAUUCAAGAGCAUUGGUUAUCAUUUUGCAUCUACAACUCCAGAACUGUAAAACAACAACUUACACAGUAGCCUAACACAAGUCAUACAUAAGGCUGAUAAGGAGUAGCCUACAUUAUGCGUUUAAUGUCCAAGGUUAAUUUCCAGAAUACAGAAAAAAGCUUUCACUUUCACAAUCUCCUGCGACCCCAUAUGCAUGUAAGGAGACACCAAGUUGGAGAACCACUGCUGUAGAACCUGUUGAAAACCUAUUUCAAUCUUCCAUGAAACCCUUGUGUUCACAAUGUUGUAAUAAUAAUUAAUAACGGCCCCCCAUAUUUAAGGCUCCAAUGUUAGUGUGUUUAUCAAAUUAAGGAAACAAAUACAAAAGAGAAGUGGAUUUCUCUGCCUGAAAUCCCCUGAUUUCCCAGCACAUGCAUUUGUGAAAAACAAAUACAUUGUUACGGUUGCUGGAUUUUGACGCCGGAAAAUAACGUGUGCUGCCCACUUGAUGAAAACCACUUCUCUGUGAGGUUUUCAUCUGAAUAUGCACUUGGGCGGCAAAGCAAUGAUCGCCGCCGACAGCGUCUUUAGUCAGGUCAGCUUCUUCAGUCGGCAACAUGGACGACGAGAGACUCAUUGUCGAAGUUCAGCAACAUGAAGUCAUUUAUGUACCAAAUCAUCCUUUUUAUAAGGACAAUGGCUGGAAGGAUAAAGCGUGGCAUUUAAUUGCAGUAGUUUUGGGAGUGGAAGGUGAGUACAUUAGGUUUAGGAUCUUGCGUGAAUACGGCUGGCUCGCAAGGCAGCGCUGCGCUGCCGUUGUAAGCAUAGACAUCAUAUAGGAUCCUAUAUCCCUAACUCUCCACCUCAAGAUGGUGUGUAGUGAGCGUUCUGGCGCCAAUUGGCUGCCGUGCAUCACCCAACUGGGUGCUACAUAUUGGUUGUGGUUAGUGAGGUCCCCCCUUCACUUUAGGCGUCUUUGAGUGUUAUUAAUUAUUAUUAUUUUUCAUGUUUAACCUCUGUUUUCCUUUUAUUCCUAGUCUGUUUUACAUAGUUUUGAAUGAUGACUAUAUGCUCUGUAAGGUGACCUUGGGUGUCUUGAAAGGCGCCUCUAAAUUAAAUGUAUUAUUAUUAUUAUUAUUAUUAUUAUUAUUAUUAUAGGAUCCUAUAUGAUGUCUAUGGUUGUAAGGCUCCGUCGUCUGCUGAUUACGUCACACAAUAUCAUUGGCUGUACGCUUGAAUGGGCGUAUACAUUGUGAUUGGCUGUACGUCGGACAGUUGUGAUUGGCUGUUUUGUGCUGUAGCUCUGGCUGUAGUCAUAGCAACCACGUAACUAGAUACUGUACGUUGGAGAGUUUUGUUUCCCGGAGAUGGCAGCAGCUAUGGAGAGCUUUUAUGCAGAAAUUAAGCAUUUCCUAGAAACUAGUGUUUACCACACCUUAACCAACACUAUCUCGAAACCAGAGAGCAGAAAGGCAGUGAUUCGGAAAGCAUCAAUAAGAUACACAAUAAAAGGUCAAGUCACACAGUGAGAAUUAACUUUACUUAACUUUACCUUCCAACAGUACUUCAAAAUAAAUGUAGCAUGCAAGAUAAAACAAAAGUAUUAUCAUACUACCGGGUACUAAAAGCCAUCCUAAAUAAGUAGGUUUUAGCCUAGAUUAGAACGUCAUAGAAAAUAUUGUCUGUUGCAUCUUGUCUGAGGUGUCUUAUCAUAGCCCUCUUCCUUUACUUUUUUCCUUCCAAGUACUAUUAGUAAUAUUAGCUGUUCAAUUCAAUCCAUAUUUGAAACAUUUCAAGGCCUUUUGGACUUUCUGGUGCUGCUUUUAGUCAUAAUAUAACCUACCCAGUUAUUAUACAUACAUAAACACUAGGGGUUUGACGUAAUUGGCGAACGAUCCAACUGCAUCGAUGCAACGCCCAACAACGAUGCAUAUUGCUGUAUUACACGCUUUUAUUAUUAUAUAUCCUUUCGCGGGUGUUUGUGAAACUAUUUCUGCGCAAAGCGCCAAGCCACUCAUCCAUUCACCGGUUAAACGAGGCAACAGCGAGCACAUGUGUGAGCGCAAGUACUCAGCCGCCCGGAUCAUCACCCGCACCAAAUCAUCUGACCACAUCACCCCUGUCCUCAUCCAACUUCACUGGCUCCCAGUACACUACCGCAUCCAAUACAAAACCCUACUCCUCACCUACAAAGCUCUCCACAACCUAGCCCCCAGUUACCUCUGCGACCUCCUCCAAGAAUACACUCCCUCCCGCUCCCUCCGCUCAACCUCUGCUGGACUACUAUAUAUCCCCACAUCACGACUCACUACAAUGGGUGCCCGGUCAUUCAGCUGUUCAGCACCCAGGCUCUGGAACUCCCUCCCCCCACACAUAAAACAGUCAGACACCAUUACAUCCUUCAAGUCACAAUCAUGAUAACUUUAUGCUCUGUAAGGUGACCUUGGGUGUCUUGAAAGGCGCCCUUUAAAUUAAAUUAUUAUUAUUAUUAUUACCGUGGAGAUACCCUUGGAGACAAUUGAAAGUGACGUAGUUCCCGCCCAGACGCUGAUUGGCUGAUACGUUUGCCACUUUGCAUAUUGACUUUUUGGAUUCCUCUUUGGAUUCCGUUUUGGAUUCCGCUUUGGAUUCCGUUUUGGAUUCCGUUUUGCGGAUUGAAAUGUCAUUUGAAUAUCGCAACACACGGAGCGUGGCGAAGUGGAUUGCAAUCACGGGGACGCUAUAGCUUUUCAAUUUGAAUAAAGGAACUCAAAGAAUUUGACAAAAUGUUAUUGUAUUUUUAUUGUUAUAACUUUUGCAAAUUUAAUGGAGGAUUGCAUUGUCACUUUGCAUAUUAAAACACACUUUGAAUAACGUUUUUACAAAUUACGUUAUGAAAUUGCAUAAUGCAUUGUCAAUUGCAUAACGUAAUUACUGAUUGAAUUGCAAAUUGCAAAUUGCAUUGCCAUUUGAAUUUUGCUACAUAUAUGCUUCCAUACAUUUCCGCCACAGGGUGGCUUUGAUCUAUUGGUGCACUUUCUGUCCGGUGAAAUCUACAAAUGUUGUAGAGCAGUGUUGAGACAUGGCGGACAGAACGUGUCGUUAACAAAUGUUUUGCAUGCUGUCUGUGUAUGUUUACAGGAAGGCAAGCCAUAUAAGUCAUCAAUGUACAUAAGAGUGAGCUUGGCAAGGAUACAGAUAUGUGGGGAAGAGUUGGCUGGUUACCUUCUUAACUAACAGCUAAGCUAAUCUUCUCCCGGUGCCAUUAGGGUUCGCUGGCAGUACAUUUAUGUAGAUUGUGUUGUUUUUACUUUGCAUACCAAGGUUAAGAACUGAGGAUAUUAUCAGGAGCCACAAUGUGCUUUUCUUUUAUGUAUUUCCAUUGUUAGUUAUUACUAUGUGCAUUAAUAUGUAUUUUUGUGAACGGUGUAAUAAUUAGUUAGGAUGUAAACAGACAUAGUAAAACGUACACAUGUUGUAGAGCAGUUUUGAGACAUGGGGGACAGAACGUGUCGUUGUGUCGCAAUGUCUGUGUAUGUAUGCAGAACCCAGUAAAAUAAACUAUUCGUCAAGUCACUCUUGAGUUUAAUUAUUCAGGCGGCUACACAGACAAUAUUAAAAUAUUCAUAAAAUAAAAACAAUGUAAAAAAAUAAGGUUAUGGGCCGAAUUCAGUUCAAAUUCAGCCUCUGCUGGCCCACAAAUAGAUUGCCUAAUUUCCUCCUUACACGCUUUAAUUUAAUUAUAGCCAAUUAGAGUCAAGUAACUGAUGGGCUUAAAGGGACUCUCACCUUUGUUGCAUUUUUACACUUUUUUUGGAUAAGGUUAAAUUGGUAUUAAUAAGGUAAUGACACUCUAAAAUGCAAGACAGACCCACCAGGAGUAGAAAACAAACAAUUAUUUCACCCUCAUAAUAUUUAGUGAAAACUUCAACCAAUAAAAUUCUUCGGACCGAAGGACCUUAUUGGCCGACAGACCUGUCUGUUUGCUGCAUGGACAUAUAAGGUUUUCCGCCUGCUUCUUGUGGCGCAUUCGGGCCCGCGUCAUCAAGGCGCGUCCUCAACUAGAGGGUUUGUUUUGAUUCCACGGCAGACAGUAGCGAGUAGCGACCGUAGCGACUGACGAUGGCAGACCAAAGUGGUCCACGGCGUACUGAAACAGCCGCUCCCAGGGGGAAAAACAAAAGUUUAACAGAGAAGGCCACCAGAAAAAAAGAACUCGAUACUGCAAGAGGAAAACGUCGAGUAAACAUCGACUCUGCUUUUGAGCAAUGGAGGCAACUGAUGAAGCUGCAGCCAGAGCUAAAAUCGGAUUAAAUGGUUGCGGAGUUUCUGCUGGAAAGGUAUUUUUAUUUUGCAUAACCUAACCUACAACAUCAUAUAACCUUACGAUUGACUAUUUGUUGCAGACACUUACCGGAAUCACGUUAAGCAUAAUGCUAACGGACCUACCGUUAGCUCCAGCUAAUUAGGCAGUUUGCUCGGGAAAUAAAGAAAUAUUCUCCACUUAUAGUCUUCCUCACCGUUUUACACAGUCCUAGUGUGCUUUAAAUUGUUUUGGCUCAUUCACACACACAUUCAUACACCGAAGGCAGCAGUUAGCAGGGUGCUAACUGUCAAUGUGUGUGUAAAUCAUAGGUGUAAGUCAUAUCAUAUCUGUGUUUGUCGCUGUUUCCAUGUUCAGUACAAUGUACAGUUUAUCAUAUUUUAACUUUCUGCUGGUACAACCCGCCCACUCACGUUAAUAUUUGUGUGUGCAUGUGCAUGUUUGUGUUUUAGUUACGGAAAAAAACAACGUUGACGGCGCCAGUAAAACGUGGUUUCAAGAGGCCUCCUCCGCCACCAUUGUCCACCAGUGCCAAAUCUUUUUCAGAACGAGAGGAGGAUUUCUCUGUUCAUGGAGUGGAGGGUUUGGACAGCUGCUCUGCUGAGACCUCAUUUCUCACAAUACAAGCAAGUGUUACAUCAGCAGAUGAAAGAUUGGGUGACAUCAAUGAGGACGCAUUUAAUGAUAUAACAAACUCUAUCAUUGACUACGAUGAGGACGAAUACGAUCCUUCUUGGCAUCCAGACAUGGAGGCGCAAUCAGAGUUGCUGUUGGAAGAGGAGGACACUGUAGGAAGACUGACUGCAAUGACAGCGACGACCCAGAUUAUGUGCCACUUUUUCGUGUGUGCAAAGGCAGAUCUCUGAAUACUGGUUUAAUCCUGGAAGAAUGUCCAUCAGUCACCAUGGAAGACACUGUGCAUGACGCGGGAGACGACACAGAUCAAGAUGAUCAUGAAGAAGAUCUCUCUGUGCUGGAGCAAGAGCAAGAGACACAACAUCUUCCCCAAAAAAAGCAAAGAAGGCAACCAUAUAGAUCGGAGAUAACUGUUGAGGUGGAAGAUGAUAUAAUUGGCAAACCGGCUUCUAUUGCUUACCAUGACUGUCUGAGGCAGCUUUGUGAGUUUGUUGCUUUGCCAAUAGAUUAUUGUAAAGGGAAGGACCCCAUCACCCAAAAACAAUGUCAGGCAAAAGGACCUUUUGAGAUUAACAUCAAGUCAAGGGUCACAGCUGCCGUCAUUGAAUGGCUGUGUCCUCAAGGUCAUAUCGUGUGGCGGUGGUCUUCCCAACCAACUUUAAAAUUUGGCAGUCAGUUAGGAGACUUUCUAAUGGCCACCAACAUUUUGCUCACAGGCAACAGCUACACAAAUGUGAAAAUGCUUUUCAACUUCAUGAAUAUGGGGAUGAUCAAUGAGAGAUACUUUGCUGACAUCCAAGACAACUACUGUGUGGACACUAUAAAGGCGUUCUGGAAUGCGAGAAGAGCCAAAGUGAUUGCCAAUGUGAAGACAUUAGGACCAACUGUUGCUCUCGGAGAUGGAAGGAUGGACAGUCCAGGAUUCUGCGAGCAGUAAUGUACGUACACUGCCAUGGACAAUGCCACAAGCCAAAUAAUCAACGUGGUGAAUGUGGACAAGCGUGAGACUUCGCGGAAAUCAACCAACAUGGAGAAGGUGGCCUUUAUAGAGACAUUAGACACGCUGAAGCAAGAUCUUGAUGUCAUUGAGUUCUGCACUGAUGCACACAGCCAAAUAUCGGCCAUAUUCAGGCUGUACAAGGACAGUGGCGUCAAGUACACGCUGGACAUGUGGCACGGAGCCAAGAAUCUUGGCAAAAAAAUCCAUGCUGCCGGCCUCCAAAAAGGCUGUUCACUGUUACUUGUCCAGGAGAAGGAUAUCUGCAACCACUUUUGGUACUGCUGCAAGGCAGCAAAUACAGUGGAGGAUUUCUGGGACAUGUGGACAGGAUUGCUACACCAUGUCACCGGAGAACACCAGUGGGGACUUGGCGGCUGUUACCAUGGCCCAUUGGAGGAAAAUAGCAACAAGGAGCUUAUUCCAAAGGGAAGCACUGCACACCGCAAAAUCACAGAACUGAUCAUGGAUGAGAGGUGGUCAAAGACGAUUCCAAAGUACUUGACCUUUAGAUCCACUGGUGCCCUGGAGUGUUUCCAUGCACACGUUCUGAUGUACGCAUCAAAACGAAACGCCUUCGUACCACCUGUGUAUGCGGCCCGAACACUUUUAGCUGCCCUUGACUACAAUGAACACUGCAGCCGACCCUACUAUGUGAAGGCAGAUGGCAAAUACAGGUAUGUUGACAGCUUGUGUUGUGGGGAAAUAAGUCAGCAGUAUGAAUUUGAAAGAUGUGUGAGCCUCCUUUCCUAUGGAACAGAGGGGGAACAGUAUCUGACAGUAUUAUUCCAAGCUGUCAGGAUGCGUUCCCCCUGUUCUAAAUGGUCAAAUUGAAUGAUAUCAGCCUGAAAAUCACAGCACUUAUCUGUUGUGGGGAAAUAAGUCAGCAGUAUGAAUUUGAAAGAUGUGUGAGCCUCCUUUCCUAUGGAACAGAGGGGGAACGCAUCCUGACAGUAUUAUUCCAAGCUGUCAGGAUGCGUUCCCCCUGUUCUAAUUGGUCAAAUUGAAUGAUAUCAGCCUGAAAAUCACAGGACUUAUCUGUUGUGGGGAAAGAAGUCAGCAGUAUGAAUUUGAAAGAUGUGUGAGCCUCCUUUCCUAUGGAACAGAGGGGGAACAGUAUCUGACAGUAUUAUGAAUGAGCACACUUCCUUCCAAAAGUCCAUAACAUUCAAAAUGAAAAGUCUCUCACAAAAAUAAUAUUUUUUAUUGAUAGAAAUCUACAAUACAACAUCUUCAGAUAAAACUCGCUAAAAAAAGUCAGUUUUGAACCUUAGCUCUCUCCAAAGUGCCUCUGUGGUACGAGCACAGCAGCUCGUGGGCGAGCUUUUUGUGUACGUGCGCUUCCUUCGCCCUUCGGGUAAUUUCGGACGGGGGCGGGGACUAGGGGAAACACAUCUCGACGGGGAAACAGAUCUCGACACAACACAGGUUCCAGCUGUAUUUUCAGUUGACUGGGGCUAUGUUCGAUGACCUGCUAGCCCGGGUUGGUGCCAGGAUCUCCCGUCAAGAUACCAACUACAUGCGCUCCAUAUCAGCUGCGGAGCACCUGUCCUCUGUCCCCAGUGACGUCGGGUCAAGCUCAACACUGAUUGGCUAUCGCGGCUAACCGUCACGCGUAGGAGCAUAUUUGUCCGGUUCGCCCGUCGGUGUCCGGGUCGCUCUGUUGGGGCUUAUUUCCCCGAUAAUGACCGGCUUUCUAUACAUUAUCCCUUACGUAUUUAACACCCAGUAGAUGAUACUGCUAUGUAGUUCAAAAUCAAACAGAAAGCUGGAAUGAAGCCUCUAUUCUUUAGGGCUGUCAAGUUCCUGUCAGUUGGUCGUACCUGCCAAAGGUUGGUACGCACUUGUAAGACCAAAUACUCAUUGGUCGGACAUUCGCUGGUGUUACUUACAUAAAAUAAAUAUAUACUGUAUAUGUACAUAUAAUUGGGGGCGGGAGGGACAUGCAGACCCAUGUAUUUAUUUUUGAGCAAUAGGCUAUCCACCUUAUUCUGCCAUGCCCCUUUUUAAAUGUGUUUGUCUUCCGCUUUGUGUUGAAACUUCCGGUCGGCUAGCUACAGCUAGAUAGCUACAUUGAAAUACCCGGCGAAUUAAGAUGGAGAGGCUAAUGUGGGUAGAGACAAAAAAACAUGUCAAAAGAUUGGAUGGAGGGAUUGUACUUCGGCACCCGAGGUUAAUGAACUCCACCAAGUGGGUGGAUGACAUGCGGUGGUGCCCUCAGGUGUCAUAUGGGGAUAUUUUUAAUUAUUCAGAGCUGUCGGUGGGCGUCGAUGGGUCGACCAUGAAAAACUUCAAGAGCACCGAGGCGUUUCAAUAUUUACAUAGUGGAAAGAUCGGUCGUGUUUUGCAUUCCAAGAACGAGAAGGAGGAAUAUCUCUUUUUGAAAGCUGCAGUCAACCCCAGUCAGUCCAGCACACCAAGACUAAGAGCAUUCUAUUUCAGAGACAUGCUUCCUUUAGUUUCAGACGAGUAUAAUGAAGGUCGCCUGUUGCUCUGUGAGCGUUAUAUGCAGUUAUGCAAAUGAUUACUUUAUACUUCUUAACUACUUGUACAUAUUUUAACUACUAUUUGUACAUAUUAUUGGCUAUUGUUUUUAAUGUAAUUUGUUUUUAGUAUUAUGUCAAAGCAUUAACUCAAUCAUGAAAGGAUUUAGCAAAUGCCUCAUGUGUCAAGUUUAUUUUAUUGACCCUCUCUGACAUCACGUUUGUGUAUAAAAAUACAGAUAUAAGUUAAAGUUUGGUAUAGAUUUGUAAAAAUGAACAAUAGAAACAACAUUUUAACCAUGUAACCAUUACAACUGAUUGAACUUAUAUCUGAUUGAACAUGUUAUUCCUCAUCUUCUUGUAUAAUGUCCCCACGGAGAUUACAUAGACCUGCAGACUCUCAGAAUCUUGUCAAAUUUCGGGGCAAGGUUAAUUGGCACUGUUUGAGAGACUAUUCUGUAGUUCUUCAGGCGGCGUAUGACCCUCUCGUGGCUAUGCGCCUCAUGUUGGUGGUGUCUUCUUCGGACAAGGGAAGGCCUCUUCUGGUUAAAGCUGGCAGGACGAGCUUGACUUUACGUUCAAACAGAAGAUCUUGGAUAACAAAUCCUCGGUCAGCCAUCACC